rnacentral:tRNA from 4 species
GGAAAGAUGGCAGAGUGGUCGAUUGCGGCGGUCUUGAAAACCGUUGACCUGCAAGGGUCCGGGGGUUCGAAUCCCUCUCUUUCCGCCA